GUGGGGAAUAUUGGACAAUGGGCGCAAGCCUGAUCCAGCCAUGCCGCGUGAGUGAUGAAGGCCCUAGGGUUGUAAAGCUCUUUCACCGGAGAAGAUAAUGACGGUAUCCGGAGAAGAAGCCCCGGCUAACUUCGUGCCAGCAGCCGCGGUAAUACGAAGGGGGCUAGCGUUGUUCGGAAUUACUGGGCGUAAAGCGCACGUAGGCGGACAUUUAAGUCAGGGGUGAAAUCCCGGGGCUCAACCCCGGAACUGCCUUUGAUACUGGGUGUCUGGAGUAUGGAAGAGGUAAGUGGAAUUCCGAGUGUAGAGGUGAAAUUCGUAGAUAUUCGGAGGAACACCAGUGGCGAAGGCGGCUUACUGGUCCAUUACUGACGCUGAGGUGCGAAAGCGUGGGGAGCAAACAGGAUUAGAAACCCUAGUAGUCC
rnacentral:rRNA from 1 species